UGCUUUGUCUCAAAGAUUAAGCCAUGCAUGUAUAAGUACAAACGACUCGAUCGUGAAACCGCGAACGGCUCAUUAUAACAGCUAUAAUUUACUUGAUCUUGACAAUCCUACUUGGAUAACUGUGGUAAUUCUAGAGCUAAUACAUGCACCAAAGCUCCGACCUCGCGGGAGGAGCGCAUUUAUUAGAACAAAACCAAGCGGGCGCCUCACGGUGCUCGUGAUUUGUUGACUCAGAAUAACUAAGCUGAUCGCAUGGUCUUGCACCGGCGACGUGUCUUUCAAGUAUCUGCCUUAUCAACUUUCGAUGGUAGUGUAUCUGACUACCAUGGUUGUGACGGGUAACGGAGGAUAAGGGUUCGACUCCGGAGAAGGGGCCUGAGAAAUGGCCACUACGUCUAAGGAUGGCAGCAGGCGCGCAAAUUACCCACUCUCAGAACACUGAGGAGGUAGUGACGAGAAAUAACGAGGCCGUUCUCUAUGAGGCCGGUCAUCGGAAUGGGUACAAUCUAAACCCUUUAACGAGUAUCUAUGAGAGGGCAAGUCUGGUGCCAGCAGCCGCGGUAAUUCCAGCUCUCAAAAUGCAUAGAAUUAUUGCUGCGGUUAAAAAGCUCGUAGUUGGAUCUGUGCGACGGGAGUCGGUCCAGCCUCACGGCUGCGCACUGGCCACCCGCGCUUUCCGGUCGGUUUUCGCGUCGUGGCUUUCACCGGCUGCGGCGCGUGGCUGACGAGUUUACUUUGAACAAAUCAGAGUGCUUAACACAGGCGUUUCGCUUGAAUGUUCUUGCAUGGAAUAAUAGAAGAGGAUCGCGGUCCGAUUUUAUUGGUUUUAUGGACUGAGAUAAUGGUUAACAGAGACAAACGGGGGCAUUCGUACCGCUGCGUGAGAGGUGAAAUUCUUGGACCGCAGCGAGACGAACUACAGCGAAAGCAUUUGCCAAGAAUGUCUUCAUUAAUCAAGAACGAAAGUCAGAGGUUCGAAGGCGAUCAGAUACCGCCCUAGUUCUGACCGUAAACGAUGCCAACUCGCGAUCCGCCGGCGGAUUCAUUCGCCCUGGUGGGGAGCGUCCCGGAAACGAAAGUCUUCCGGUUCCGGGGGAAGUAUGGUUGCAAAGCUGAAACUUAAAGGAAUUGACGGAAGGGCACCACCAGGAGUGGAGCCUGCGGCUUAAUUUGACUCAACACGGGAAAACUCACCCGGCCCGGACACCGUAAGGAUUGACAGAUUGAUAGCUUUUUCAUGAUUCGGUGGAUGGUGGUGCAUGGCCGUUCUUAGUUCGUGGAGCGAUUUGUCUGGUUUAUUCCGAUAACGAGCGAGACUCUAGCCUACUAACUAGUCCACACAUUCGCAAGUGCGUGUGUCGACUUCUUAGAGGGAUUUUCGGUGUUCAGCCGCACGAGAUUGAGCAAUAACAGGUCUGUGAUGCCCUUAGAUGUCCGGGGCUGCACGCGCGCUACACUGGCGAAAUCAGCGUGCCUGUCCUCUCUCGAAAGAGAUUGGUAAACCAAUGAAAAUUCGCCGUGAUUGGGAUCGGAAAUUGCAAUUAUUUUCCGUGAACGAGGAAUUCCAAGUAAGUGCGAGUCAUCAACUCGCGUUGAUUACGUCCCUGCUCUUUGUACACACCGCCCGUCGCUGCCCGGGACUGAGCCAUUUCGAGAAAUUUGGGGAUUGCUGAUUGACGCGCUUCACGGUGCGCCUCUCGGUGAGAACCAAUUUAAUCGCAGUGGCUUGAACCGGGCAAAAGUCGUAACAAGGUGGCUGUAGGUGAACCUGCAGCAGGAU
rnacentral:rRNA from 1 species